GACGAACGCUGGCGGCGUGCUUAACACAUGCAAGUCGAACGAAUUGUCGAACGCGUGAGUAUUACGCGGGUAACCUGUCCCCCUCUUUGGGAUAAGCCAUGUGAACGGGGCCUAAUACCCAAUAAAGGUGUAUGGGCUCGCGGCCUAUCGGCGUGUUGGUGGGGUGAUGGCCUGCCAAGGCGGUGACGGGGAGCCGGGCUGAGAGGGUGAUGGGACACAUAGAGACUGCGGUACGGGACGGGAGGCUACGGGAGGGAGUAGUGGGGGAUAGUGCACAGUCGGAGGAAGCAUGGUGGAGCGAGUGCGGGUGGGGGAUGAAGGGUUUAGGGUUGUAAAUCGGUAUCGAAAUCGAACGGGUACCGGGAGAAGAAGCGACGGCUAACUACGUGCCAGCAGCCGCGGUAAUAC
rnacentral:rRNA from 1 species